GCCCCCAUAGCUCAGGCUGGAUAGAGCGUUGGCCUCCGGAGCCAAAGGUCGCGGGUUCGAGUCCCGCUGGGGGCU
rnacentral:tRNA from 4 species